CUUGGCCUAAAACCAGAGAGAUUUGAAUGUUGUCAAUGAGAAAAGAAGUGCGUCAGACCUGAAGAUCACUUGAAUAUUUGUCAGCGCACGUCUGACAGGGAUUGCGCCUGGAAUGAGAGCUCUGUCUCACAGGAGGCUUCAGGGAUAAAACGCUGGGCAGUGGCUUCAAGCCUUUGCUGCGCUUUGCAGCCCUGGGAGCUAGUGCACUCACGGUGGCACGUAACGCCAUCCUCGGAAGCUGGCAGGACAUCCUGAAAAAGACGUUCCUCACCUCGGGCAAUGAGACAGCCAAAUGUUCCUGCUCACACUUGUCCUUGGAGGCUUUCUUUGGUGUCCAUCCGCUGGAAGCUGGCCGUAGGCAUGAGCAUUCUGAGCGUCUGACCCAGCCCAUCCCACAAAUCUUCUCACCAUCGCAUCUCCCAGGCCACCUUGGGGACACCUUCCUGCACCGCCACCCAGACCACCACCUCCCUCUUCCAUAUCACGCAGAUGGCGGUGGCAGCCGGUGGCAAGAAGAGGUGGAAUCUGCUCAGCAGCACGGGGAGCAGUCGGGAAGGCACGUUGUGUGUUUUUUUCUCUCUGCUCUACUCGUGCUGUAUGCUGUUUCCAGAGUCAAACAAUUUUGCUGCCUUUUGCCAAUAUACUGUCUAGUAGGAGACCAUCAAACCUACAGUUAUGCUGCAGCAAAGCAUACAGAAAGCCUAAGGCCAAGAGCUUCAAAUCUGAAACCCACACUUUGGCUCAUGGCAUAACUAUAUGCGUAAAAAUGGGAGGAUCCCGAUUCCUCACUCCACUCCAGUGGUUUUGUGCUAGUUUAACGCUCAAUUUCCGUGUAAUGAGGCUGUAAUAAAAGCAGUAUAACGGAGUAGAGCGGCA
rnacentral:lncRNA from 1 species